UUCAUUUACAUUGAAAUGGGUGUGGUGCUCAGUGUAUCUUGUUUACCUUAUCGUCUGGAAAAAGUUUUGAAGUCAGCUUGGUUUUGUCCCAUCCUGCUGUUGUCCUCACAUAUGUUCUUAGGUACAGUGGAGACAGAUGGAGUGUGUUGGCUGAC
rnacentral:lncRNA from 1 species